AGGUCAUAUCACGUUGAAACACCGGCUCCCGUACGAUCACCGAAGUUAAGCAACGUCGAACCAUGUCAGUACCUAGUUGGGUGACAGCUAAGGAAUGCCACGUGCCGUAAG